AUUCAGCUGACGAGUCGCAAAUAAGACGAAACGUGCAUCAUACUGGAC
rnacentral:hammerhead_ribozyme from 1 species